rnacentral:misc_RNA from 1 species
UCCGGUUUGGCACCGGCAGUCUUCCUAGAGUCCCCGCCAUUACGCGCUGGCAACUAAGAACAGGGGUUGCGCUCGUUGCGGGACUUAACCCAACAUCUCACGACACGAACUGACGACAGCCAUGCAGCACCUCACCAGAAGCCCUUACGGGAGACCCCCUUUCAGGGGCUGUCCUCUGGUGUUCGAGCCUGGGUAAGGUUCUUCGCGUUGCAUCGAAUUAAACCACAUGCUCCACCGCUUGUGCGGGCCCCCGUCAAUUCCUUUGAGUUUCAGCCUUGCGGCCGUACUCCCCAGGCGGGGCACUUCAUGCGUUAGCGCCGGCACUCAAGGGGUCGCUCCCCCAAGCACCUAGUGCCCAUCGUUUACGGCGUGGACUAC